rnacentral:rRNA from 1 species
CGCCGUUCAAGUGAGUAGGGUGUUGCGUAGGCAAAUCCGCGCAACGUGAGCCUGAGACACGAUGACGAGUGAAAAAUAGUAACGAAGUCCUUGAUCCUCCGCUGCCAAGAAAAGCUGCUAAGGAAUAUAGAGGUGCCCGUACCGCAAACCGACACAGGUAGACAGGUAGAGAAUACUAAGGCGCGCGAGAUAACUCUUGUUAAGGAACUCUGCAAAAUGAACCCGUAACUUCGGGAGAAGGGUUGCUCUCUAGCGUGAGUAUGAGCAAUACAGAGCGCAGGAGAGUCGCAGUGAAAAGGUCCAGGCGACUGUUUAGCAAAAACACAGGUCAUUGCAAAAUCGCAAGAUGAAGUAUAAUGGCUGACGCCUGCCCGGUGCUGGAAGGUUAAGGGGAAGAGUGCAAGCUUUGAACCGAAGCCCCAGUAAACGGCGGCCGUAACAAUAACGGUCCUAAGGUAGCGAAAUUCCUUGUCGGGUAAGUUCCGACCCGCACGAAAGGCGAAACGAUCUGGACGCUGUCUCAACAAGGGACUCGGUGAAAUUGAAAUUCCGGUAAAGAUGCCGGAUACCUGCGAUAGGACAGAAAGACCCCAUGGAGCUUUACUGUAGCCUGAUAUUGGGUUUCGGAUAUUCAUGUACAGGAUAGGUGGGAGACUAAGAAGCAUGGACGCCAGUUUGUGCGGAGUCACUGGUGGGAUACCACCCUUAAAUGUUUGGAAUUCUAACAAGGAGUCUUGAAGCAGAUUAUUGGACAGUGUCAGGUGGGCAGUUCGACUGGGGCGGUCGCCUCCCGAAAGGUAACGGAGGCGCUCAAAGGUUCCCUCAGAACGGAUGGAAAUCGUUCGCAGAGUGCAAAGGCAGAAGGGAGCUUGACUGCGAGAGCCACAACUCGAGCAGAUAGGAAACUAGGACUUAGUGAUCCGGCGGUCGCGAGUGGAAGUGCCGUCGUUCAACGGAUAAAAGCUACCCUGGGGAUAACAGGCUUAUCUCCCCCAAGAGUUCACAUCGACGGGGAGGUUUGGCACCUCGAUGUCGGCUCAUCGCAUCCUGGGGCUGAAGUAGGUCCCAAGGGUUGGGCUGUUCGCCCAUUAAAGCGGUACGCGAGCUGGGUUCAGAACGUCGUGAGACAGUUCGGUCCCUAUCCAUCGCGGGCGUAGGAAAUUUGAAGGGAGCUGACCCUAGUACGAGAGGACCGGGUUGGACAGACCGCUGGUGAACCAGUUGUUCUGCCAAGAGCAUAGCUGGGUAGCUAAGUCUGGAAAAGAUAAACGCUGAAAGCAUCUAAGCGUGAAGCGAACCUUAAGAUGAGAUUUCCCACAACGAAGGUUGAUAAGACACCAGAGAGAAUAACUGGUAGAUAGGUCAGGAGUGUAAGUGUGGUGACACAUUGAGCGGACUGAUACUAAUAAGUCGAAGACUUAGUC